GUGUGCUAAGCGGGGAGUUAGCGGUGCCCUGUACCUGCAACCCGCUACAGCAGGGCCGAAUUCCCUUUCCCCGGGACACGUUUGUGAGGCAGCGCCGCGUAAGGAGUGUUGAAGGACAGGUCCUGCGCAAUGCCGGCUCUCGAACCAGGUCAGGUCCGAAAGGAAGCAGCCUUAAGAGAAAACCGGCAUGUGCCGCGGGGGUGCCCGUCUGGAGCCACCUGCGCGGUGGCGCUUGGAAGCGUUGUUUCAAAGAAAGGGUGCACAC
rnacentral:SRP_RNA from 1 species